CUUCUCUCAGCUCUGAGUCGUUACCUGGCUUCACCGUGUGGGACUUCCAUAAUGGGGAGAGGGAAAGAUGGCCUCAGGACCUUGAAUUAGCUUUGUGGUGGCCUCUCUUUUCCUCAGAGGCACAACAGAA